GCCCUCUCAGGAUCACACCUGGAGAGAUUCCAGUCCUCUAUCAGUCUUGGCUAUGGGAGGAAGUGUCAGGCAGAGGCCUACCCAUUCCAUUACUAGCUUUGGUGGAGGCUAGCAAAUGGAAGGCAAUCUGCUACAAGU